AUUGAACGCUGGCGGCAGGCCUAACACAUGCAAGUCGAGCGGUAGAGAGAAGAUUGCUUCUCUUGAGAGCGGCGGACGGGUGAGUAAUGCCUAGGAAUCUGCCUGGUAGGGGGGGAUAAAGUUCGGAAACGGACGCUAAUACCGCAUACGUCCUACGGGAGAAAGCAGGGGACCUGGGUGCCUUGCGGUAUCAGAUGAGCAUAGGUCGGAUUAGCUAGUUGUGGAGUUAAUGGCUCACCAAGGCGACGAUCCGUAGCUGGUCUGAGAGGAUGAUCAGUCACACUGGAACUGAGACACGGUCCAGACUCCUACGGGAGGCAGCAGUGGGGAAUAUUGGACAAUGGGCGAAAGCCUGAUCCAGCCAUGCCGCGUGUGUGAAGAAGGUCUUCGGAUUGUAAAGCACUUUAAGUUGGGAGGAAGGGUUGUAGAUUAAUACUCUGCAAUUUUGACGUUACCGACAGAAUAAGCACCGGCUAACUCUGUGCCAGCCGCCGCCGUAA
rnacentral:rRNA from 1 species